UCUGAACUCCAGAAGACUAAGAUGCAGCACUGGGAACCAAGAGAAAGCAUCCUGCCAAAAUGGAGAGCACCCCGGCUGUCUGAGGCUCCAGUCCAAAUCCUGGCAUUAUCAGAUUGGCUCAUCUCGGGUCAUCCUCCUGCAUCUGAACAAUCUCAGAGGCCAGGGGAUGGGGUCCUUCUGAGGGGCUGGAUGUUUAUGUCCCUCCAAAAUUCAAACGUUGAAACCUAAUUUCCAAUGUGCUGGCAUUUUGGAAGUGGGACCUUUGGGAGGUGAUUCGGUCAUGGGGUGGAGCCCUCAUGCAUAGGUUUAGUGUCCUUAUAAAAGGGACCAGAUUGCUCCCGUGUCCCUUCCACCAUGUGAAGACACAGCAGGAAGAUGGCCAUCUAUGAACAGGAAGUGGGUUGGGACCUUGAUCUUGGACUUCCAGCCUCCGGAACUGUG